rnacentral:rRNA from 1 species
UGGAGAGUUUGAUCCUGGCUCAGGACGAACGCUGGCGGCGUGCCUAAUACAUGCAAGUCGAGCGAAUCUGAGGGAGCUUGCUCCCGAUGAUUAGCGGCGGACGGGUGAGUAACACGUGGGUAACCUGCCUGUAAGAUUGGGAUAACUCCGGGAAACCGGAGCUAAUACCGGAUAAYAUUUCGAACCGCAUGGUUCGAARUUGAAAGGUGGCUUUUGCUACCACUUACAGAUGGACCCGCGGCGCAUUAGCUAGUUGGUGAGGUAACGGCUCACCAAGGCAACGAUGCGUAGCCGACCUGAGAGGGUGAUCGGCCACACUGGGACUGAGACACGGCCCAGACUCCUACGGGAGGCAGCAGUAGGGAAUCUUCCGCAAUGGACGAAAGUCUGACGGAGCAACRCCGCGUGAGCGAAGAAGGCCUUCGGGUCGUAAAGCUCUGUUGUUAGGGAAGAACAAGUACCGUUCAAAUAGGGCGGUACCUUGACGGUACCUAACCAGAAAGCCACGGCUAACUACGUGCCAGCAGCCGCGGUA